rnacentral:rRNA from 1 species
AUGAAGCCGCCGGCGCGGCGGCCGCUGCUGGGCGCGCUGGCGGCGGCGGCGGCACUCUCCUGCCUGCUGCUCCUCGCGCCGCCGCCCCGCCACCUCUUCCCCUCCUCCUCCUCCUCCCCCACCCGCGCCCCGACCUCCCCCUACGCGCGCCGCCCCAAGCUGCUCUUCCUCCUGGCCGGCCAGUCCAACAUGGCCGGCCGGGGCGCGCCCACCUCGCCCCUCCCCGCCCCCUACCUCCCCCACCCCCGCCUCCUCCGCCUCGCCGCCGACCGCCGCUGGGUCGCCGCUCCNNNNNNNNNNNNNNNNNNNNNNNNCACCCACAAGACCUGCGGCCUCGGCCCCGCCAUGCCCUUCGCGCACCGCCUCCUCCUCUCCUCCUCCCCCUCGCCCUCCUCCCUCCCCGCGCCCUCCGCCGUCUCCGACCCCGCCGGCGAGGACUCCGACCCGCUGGUGCUCGGCCUCGUCCCCUGCGCGGUCGGCGGCACCAGGAUCUGGAUGUGGGCUAGGGGCCAGCCGCUGUACGAGGCCGCCGUCGCCAGGGCGCGCGCCGCCGUGGCGGGCGGCGGCGGGGCGCUCGGCGCCGUGCUGUGGUUCCAGGGCGAGAGCGACACCGUCGAGGUCGACGACGCCCGCGCCUACGGCGGCAACAUGGAGCGCCUCGUCGCCGAUCUCAGGGAGGAUCUCGGCUCGCCCAAUCUGCUCGUCAUCCAGGUUGGUCUUGCAUCAGGGGAGGGGAAUUACACCGACAUCGUAAGAGAUGCUCAGAAAAGUAUCAAUCUUUCCAACGUGAUUCUCGUCGACGCCAUGGGCCUGCCGCUCAGCGACGACCAGCUGCACCUCUCCACAGAAGCUCAACUCCGGCUCGGCGAAAUGUUGGCACAAGCCUAUCUAGAAUUCGAGUCAUCCAGAGAUCGCAAGCUAUAG